UUUAAAACUAAUAUGAUUUCAUUAUUCUCAGGGAUAAUGCUCUUUUGGACUGGUCUUUGCUUCCUAAACAUAGAUUGAUAAAAAUGUUUUGAUGGCGAUUAUAUGUGGCAACCCUUAUUGGAUGAACUCUUUUCGGCAUCCUCUCCUAUAUGGAGCUCAGAGCGAGCAGAACUUCAUUUUUUUCCUAAACAUAGGUCGGUUGAUAUUUUUUUCAGGCUAUUUUCGAUUUACAUGCUAAAGUUAUAAAUCUUUUUGAUAGCUGUAAGAAGUUAAUUGGUAAUGAUGACAACUCUCUUUUUUGGUUUGAUGUUUGGUUGUGAGAGCUACCUCUCAAAGACCAGUUUCCUAAUUUAUUUUCGCUGCAGAUUGAUGGGUGUGGGAUUUAGAUGCUCCAAGAGUUUAUUAUGUCUCUUCUACUAGGAAUCUAGUGGAUUUAGCUAUUUUGGGUAUGGUUUCUACUACUACUAGGUGAAUCAGAUUGGUGCCGAUAAAAGUGAACGUUUUUUCUUGAAAAAAUAUGCAUGGAUAGAUUACCUACGAGAAAGAAUUGUCUUUGAAAGAUUCAGUUGAUUGGUGUGGAACAGUUAGAUUGAAGAAGCAAGCCAAAGAAGUUCUCGAAGGGGUAUUUUUUGUUAGUUGGUGGUAUCUUUGGAAGUUUAGAAAUAAGACUAUUUUUUAAAGAUCAACCAAAAGACUCUUAUUUUUUAUGACAUAGAUUCUCUUUCCUUUAUUUGGUGUUCAAAUAGGGCUAAGUUUAACCUAGAUUGGGUGUUAUUGUUAUAAAACAUAUUUCUUCUUUCUUGUAAUGUUGUGACUUUUGUUUUGUUCUAGCUUCUUGCUAGUUCUUGAUUUGUUCUUAUAAUAUCAUUGUCUGUUCAGAAAAAGAAAUUGAACCGUU